rnacentral:tRNA from 1 species
GCCGAAGUGGCGGAACUGGCAGACGCACACGACUCAAAAUCGUGCGCCUUCGGGCAUGUGGGUUCGACUCCCACCUUCGGCACCA